rnacentral:lncRNA from 1 species
CCCUGACCUAGUGAGAUAUACAUGGUGGAGGUUUAAUACCCUGACCUAGUGAGAUAUACAUGGAGGAGGUUUAAUAUCCUGACCUAGUGAGAUAUACAUGGAGGAGGUUUAAUAUCCUGACCUAGUGAGAUAUACAUGGAGGAGGUUUAAUAUCCUGACCUAGUGAGAUAUACAUGGAAGAGGUUUAAUAUCCUGACCUAGUGAGAUAUACAUGGAGGAGGUUUAAUAUCCUGACCUAGUGAGAUAUACAUGGAGGAGGUUUAAUAUCCUGACCUAGUGAGAUAUACAUGGAGGAGGUUUAAUACCCUGACCUAGUGAGAUAUACAUGGUGGAGGUUUAAUACCCUGACCUAGUGAGAUAUACAUGGAGGAGGUUUAAUACCCUGACCUAGUGAGAUAUACAUGGAGGAGGCUUAAUCAUGCUAGUCAUCUUGAUUACUUUCUUAUGUCAUUCUCUCUGGCACCAAAAGUUAAAAAAGUGUUGAUAAGGGACAGAAUGGGGUCGGACCAUCACAUAAUUGGCAUAUAUAUUACUCUUACAGAAUUUCCACGUGGGCAAGGAUAUUGGAAAUGUAAUCAAAGCCUACUAGAUGAUAAAUUGUUUAGAACUAGGACAGAAGAAUGUAUAACUGACUUUUUCAGACAUAACAUAGGUACAGCAGAUCCCCUUAUUGUAUUGGACACUUUUAAAUGUGCUUUUAGAGGCCAUGCAAUUCAGUACUCAUCUAUAAAACAAAAGCAAUUUAGGUCAAAACAUUCCAUAUUGACAAAGG